AUGUUCGACAACACCAUGUGCCGCAUGUACUACCAGCACGACGAAGAUGCUAGCAAUGGGAGCAGCAGCGGGGAUGACGAGGAGCAGAGCGGGGAUGACGAGGAGCAACCUAUUCUGGCUGAUGAUGACCCUGCUAUGGUGGUGGCGGAUGACGACCUAGCUAUGGUGGUGGCUGACGACGACCCUGCUAUGGUGGUGGCGGACGACGACAUUACUAUGGUGGCUGAUGACGACCUCACGAUGGUGGUGCCUAAUGAUGACCUCGCAAUGGUGGUGCCUGAUAAUGACCUCGUGAUGGUGGUGGCGCCUGCAAUCCCACAGCUUGGCGACAGGACCAUGCCAAUUGUGGUAGAGGAGUACAUCCGCGUUGGGAUUCGCCACUCUGAGCGCAUCAAGUUGAUGAAGGAGAAGAAGGAGGAGUGA
rnacentral:rRNA from 1 species